UAUCUCCACUUCAUUUAGUUGUUUUUCUGAGGUUUUAUCUUGUUCCUUCAUCUUGUACAUAGCCCUCUGCCUCUUGAUCUUGUUUAUCUUUCUGUGAAUGUGGUUUUUGUUCCACAGGCUGCAGGAUUGUAUUUCUUGCUUCUGCUUUCUUCCCUCUGGUGGAUGAGGCUAUCUAAGAGGCUUGUGCAAGUUUCCUGAUGGGAGGGACUGGUGUUGGAUAGAGCUGGCUGUUGCACUGGUGGGCAGAGUUCAGUAAAACUUUAAUCUGGUUGUCUGCUGAUGGGUGGGGCUGGGUUCCCUCCCUGUUGGUUGUUUGGCCUGAGGCGACCCAACACUGGAGCCUACCUGGGCUCUUUGCUGGGCCUAAUGGCGGACUCUGCGAGGGCUAAUGCCAAGGAGUACUUCCCAGAACUUCUGCUGCCAGUGUCCUUGUCCCCACGGUGAGCCACAGCCACUGCCCACCUCUGCAGGAGACCCUCCAACACUAGCAACUUCUCCUUUGUCUCUGGAUGUGGAGUAUCUUUUUUGGUGAGUUCCAGUGUCCUCCUGUCGAUGAUUGUCCAGCAGCUAGCUGUGAUUCUGGUGUUCUCACAAGAGGGAGUGAGAGCACGUCCUUCUACUCUGCCAUCUUGGUUCCUAAUCUCAGCCAUUUUUAAAAAAUAACUUUUCUUUUUUUUCCUUUAAUAAAUGUAUUUAUUUAUUUAU